AUUGAACGCUGGCGGCAUGCCUUACACAUGCAAGUCGAACGGUAACGGGCCUUCGGGUGCCGACGAGUGGCGAACGGGUGAGUAAUGUAUCGGAACGUGCCCAGUAGUGGGGGAUAGCCCGGCGAAAGCCGGAUUAAUACCGCAUACGACCUACGGGUGAAAGGGGGGGAUCGCAAGACCUCUCGCUAUUGGAGCGGCCGAUAUCAGAUUAGGUAGUUGGUGGGGUAAAGGCCUACCAAGCCUGCGAUCUGUAGUUGGUCUGAGAGGACGACCAGCCACACUGGGACUGAGACACGGCCCAGACUCCUACGGGAGGCAGCAGUGGGGAAUUUUGGACAAUGGGCGCAAGCCUGAUCCAGCAAUGCCGCGUGCAGGAAGAAGGCCUUCGGGUUGUAAACUGCUUUUGUCAGGGAAGAAAUCCUCUGGGUUAAUACCUCGGGGGGAUGACGGUACCUGAAGAAUAAGCACCGGCUAACUACGUGCCAGCCGCCGCUGUAAUAC
rnacentral:rRNA from 1 species